CUGACCUCCCAGGUCUGAUAGAAGGAGCACAUAUGAACAAAGGAAUGGGCCACAAGUUCCUCAAGCAUUUAGAGCGAACCAGACAACUGCUCUUUGUUGAGUUGGAGUCAUACAAAGAGGAACUGCAGACAAAACCUGCACUCUUGGCAGUUAAUAAGAUGGACUUGCCCGAUGCCCAGGUUAAGCUUGACGAACUGAUGAAGCAGCUCCAGAACCCCGCAGGAGAAUGUCCUGGGACUCCAGUGCAGUGAGUGCCGAGCCGGCACCUUUGCUUUGCAAACUGUCAGCCCCCUAGGCUGCAGCCCAUGCUUCUGCUUUGGUCUGUCCCA